GCCGAAAUGGCGAAAUUGGUAGACGCAGUUGAUUCAAAAUCAACUUCUUUUAUUAAGAGUGCCGGUUCAAAUCCGGCUUUCGGCA
rnacentral:tRNA from 1 species